GACUUGUUGGAAGAAUAUUUGUUUGUUUGUGUCUGGUCUGGCUGGUGUGACCAGAGUCCCUGCCGAAACUGUGUUGAAGAAGAAGACGAAGCGGGGUGGAGGCGGGUAAUGUUAGCCCCGCCUCCCCUCAUCCCUCACUUAUAAAUCGGAGGCGAACGUAGCCUGUUCUCACUCAACACUCGCAUGAAGAAUGAGAUCCUUAAAGCACCUGAAACCUCACAGCAGGAGGAGUGUGGAGGAGGCGAGCCGGCGCCUGGGUAGAUGUGAGCCCAAGGUAAUGGCCAGGCUGGUGGACAUAGGCACACAGACAGACCCCGUAGUCGUGCUGUCCCUGGCCCAGGCCGCCGUGCUAGGUCUCAUCUCCCAGAAUGAAGUGUUUGGCGCUACCAUUGCACCCAACGGCUUCUACACCGGCGAACCCAAAGAGUCCCCUGCACCACCAGUAGACGGCGUUGACUACGAGUACGCAGACCAGCUUAUCGGAGCCAACGGAGAUUAUUUGGGAGACAACUUGGGAGAAGACGGACAGAUGCAACCCAGUUGCAGUCAGAGGAGGUGGCAGCAGGGGCCCCCUCAACAUCCGGAUGCGAAAAUGGUGGGCCCCGAUCGUCACAGCCUUCAAGGCGGUGACGUGUCCUCAUCACAUGUGUCCUCUUCCCACGUGAAAGGGGAAGUGGUGAACUCUGCAAUGUCCUCCUGUGUCCACAUGCUUAACAAUCUGGCUCCCAGAGGUGGUUUGGUACAAGUGGAUCCAGCCACCCUCAGAAGUAACAACAAGAACUGUGUAGAGUGUGAGCGGGAAGCAUCCAACCAGCCGCAAGCCAACACACACGGUCACCCUCCUCCCCCCCAGGUGAGCCACAGAGGAGGGGAGCAGGGCCACAGAGGACUGCAGAGCCAGCGCCCAAUGGGGGGCCACAGCCGAGGUGGCAGAGAGGACGAAGAAGAUGUAGAGCACCAGGGGAACAACAUGAUGAAGCCCACCCAGCAGGACGAAGCCAUCAGCAGCUACUUCCAGACGAGCGAAGUAGGCAGCUAUGAUUCAGCCGAAAUGGGCAUGGCGGGCGAGUACGAAGACAGCAGCCAGAACAUGAUGUGGACGGAUGGGAAUGCAGGUGCGCAGCAUCAGCAGCCCCCGCACCCCCAGCCUCCUCGUCGCCACGGCGGCCGCAGAGUGGACCGGCUAGAUAUCAAUAUCCAGAUUGAUGAAUCUUACUGCGUGGAUGUGGGAGAUGGUCUGAAGCGCUGGAAGUGUCGCAUGUGUGAUAAAUCGUACACCUCCAAAUACAACUUGGUCACGCACAUCCUGGGCCACAAUGGCAUCAAACCACACGCCUGUCCACAUUGCGGGAAACUCUUCAAGCAGCCCAGUCAUCUUCAAACCCACCUGCUGACCCACCAAGGUACGCGUCCCCACAAAUGCACCGUCUGCAAGAAGGGCUUCACCCAGACCAGCCACCUGAAGCGACACAUGCUCCAGCACACUGACGUCAAGCCCUACAGCUGCCGUUUCUGCCGCCGCGGCUUUGCUUAUCCCAGCGAGCUGCGAGCGCACGAGGUGAAGCACGAGCGCGGACGUUGUCAUGUCUGCUCUCAGUGUGGCAUGGAGUUCCCCACCUACGCCCACCUCAAACGCCACCAAACCAGCCACCAGGGCCCCCACACCUUCCAGUGCACUGAGUGCAACAAGUCUUUCGCCUACCGCAGCCAGCUCCAGAACCACCUGCUGAAGCACCAGAGCCCAAGGCCUUACACCUGCUCCCAGUGCGGCCUGGAGUUUGUGCAGCUCCACCACCUGCGUCAGCACUCGCUCACUCAUAAGGGAAUGAAAGGCCACAAAUGUGACGUGUGUUCCCGGGAGUUCACCCUGUCGGCCAACCUGAAGAGGCACAUGCUGAUCCACAACAGCGUCAGACCGUUCCAGUGUCACGUCUGCUUCAAGAGCUUCAUCCAGAAACAGACACUUAAGACCCACAUGAUAGUCCACCUGCCUGUGAAGCCAUUCAAAUGCAAGGUAUGUGGCAAGUCUUUCAACAGAAUGUACAACCUGCUGGGCCACAUGCAUCUCCAUGCUGGCAGUAAGCCCUUCAAAUGUCCCUACUGCACCAGUAAGUUCAACCUGAAGGGAAACCUCAGCAGGCACAUGAAAGUCAAGCACGGAAUGGACGUCUCACCAGAAGGACAAGUUUGAGAUGGAUUGGGUGAUGUCAUGUACCUCCACGCAGAAUUUAUCCACAUUUGAUAAUCUGAUGACAGUUAUGGGAUUGCCUGCUUAUGGAGCCUGGCCACUGUCAAUCAAAUCUGAUCAAAUCUCACCCGCACAAAGUUCUUCCAGAAAUGGAUAGCCAGGGGGAGUAUGAAGGACAGAACUUCAGCUUUACAUCACCAGACAACAUGGACAAUGGUGGCUCCCAAAACCUCACUAAACUCACUACAGCAAACAUGGAGGACAUGGAGGAGUAUUACAAUUUCGGGAAGGAUACAAGCAGCUACGCUACACCUUGAGUGGUGAUGAACUGUUGAUCAUUUUUUUUGUUUUGUGAAGACAGAAAGAAAAUUUCAGAGUUGUUGUCAAGGCUUUGGGAGACACUGGGGACAGGGAUUGUUUUAGUUUUGGCCUCCUUCCAGAAGAGCCAGAACUGAUGGACUCUGAUGGGAGACCGGGAAGGAGACGCACUUCAAGAGACACGUUUUAGUUCUGUUGCUAUGGCAGAGACACUGAAACUGCGGACGCUGGUCAGGAGCUCCUUAAUUUUUUGGGGAUUACUGCGCCUACCGUCUCAAAGACUCUCACUGGCAGACAGUAUGUUGUGUGUAUGUAUCUGUUAUUUGAAGAAGAAAAAAAAGAAAAGAAAAAAAGUUGCAGAGCCAUCAGUUACAUUUGAUGUGAUAGAAAUAUGUUUACCAUUUUUGCCAUGUUUAUUGUCAUCCACAACCAAUGUAUGCCCUUAUAUUUUUGACUGAAAGUGCCAGCUAGAUACAUGUGCAACUAAGCUUCCACCAUGUCAGCUAUUUACUCACUGUAUAUUGAACUUUUGAUACAUAGUCACAACAUAUUCAUAGGUUUGAAUGCUCUUACUAAACAGUUCCUAAUUGUAGCUACCCAUUCCUGCCCAGCCCUCAGUUCAAACAGGCUGCUCUUUCAAUGCGUGUGUGCUUUCUGCACAGGACAUUGUAGUCUUUUUCUUGCCAGGGCACUUACUACCAAAGUUGCUACUGUCCCAUGUCGGCUGAUAACCAGAAAACAAUGUUACCGACAUGUAAAGCCCUGCCACUGUACAAAUGAUCCUGCAACGUGCAGUGUGUUUACACACCGUUUUUGUCUCACAUGGUUUAGCUUUACAUUAAUAUUCUAUCCCGUGUAGUGAAUAUACUGCUCAAAGCUUUUGAAUUACAGAGUGAACAAUACAAUACAUGCACUUUUUUUUUUUUUUUAUUGAGACCUGUCAUUUUUCUGUGAAGGCUGUCUCCAGUAGGAGUGAACUCAUUUGCCUCAAGGCGAAGAGCUGGGGGAAAUAAGAUCGUAGAAUCUUUCAAACCCCCAUAACGGCAAUAUUGAUAAACACAAACUGAUAUGCUUUCUCAGUAGGGUUUUUUUGUUUUUGUAAACUGAAGUUUCCUUGAUAUGGAUAUUUUACAGUUGUCAGUUUAAAUGCGAAUUGAAGAAUGAGCAGUUUGGAUGGAGAAUCAGCAGUUUGGGUUUUUUGUUGUUUGUAGUUUCAGCACUCUUAAAUCCAGGGCUGUUUUCACUUCACUUUCAAGUCACUUAAUUCAGAAAGAUAUUUCCUCUCUCAAGUGGGGGGGGGGGGGGGAAGCACUGACAGUGGAUAUAAAAUCCGGUCUAGAUUUAAAAGAAGAAGAAAAAAUUCUUUGCUGGUCCAGGUUACAUUUUGUAUGAUUGACUUGAAUGUGGACUGACACUAGUCCUGUUAUUCAUAAUUCUGUUUUGGGGAAGACAGUCAGCUCCCCCUGUCCUGCCAUGCAGGUCAGCCUUGAUAUGCACACUAAACCAGAGGAACCGUCUGCUAGUUCUUCUUUGAGAUGAGGAAUAUCAAACCGAGACCUCAUGGAAAUUGACCAUGACUUAUUUAAUAAAGGUUCUCUAGUUUAAA